GAAUGGAUACAGAAAAUGUAGUAAAUUUACACAAUGGAGUACUACUCAGCUAUUAAAAAGACUGAGUGAGGUAACUCAAUCACAAAAGAACUCACAUGGUAUGUACUCACUUGUGUGUGUGUGUGUGUGUGUGUGUGUGUGUGUGUGUGUGUGUUUGAAGUGGUGAACUUAUAGAUACACUGUAUGAUUGGCAUGGAAAAAAACAAGGCAGAAAUUCCAUAGUAAACUUCUCUGUAGAUGAAGGAAUAUUAUUUAACUGCCUCAACUGUGCAGAGGAAAAUGAAGGGCAUGCACAUCAUCUUGUUACUACCUGUUAGGCUGCAUCAAUAGACUAUCAGAGCAUCCAGGUUGCAGAUGGUGAGGGGCUACCCUUCUUGGAACUAUUAUACCAUACCUGUAACAGAAUACUAAGAGGUAGAAAAGCCCCAGGCAGUCAAGAUUCCUGCCUUGGGAGCAUCUAAGAUAGUGACAGAUUCAAGGCUGAAACUUUGGAAGAAAAAUUCAAAGUUUCCAAAACAUAAAUGAGCAGGCUAAGAAUGUCUUAACCUGGAAAAGAGACACAUGCUACAGGGGAACAAAUAAACUUGCUGUCUUCCAAAGCUGAAAGCCUCUUACACUGAAACAGGAAGAGUUGAGUUCUCUAUGUCUGCAAAUUAUUAUCACUAGGUGGAAAUUUUUGUGAGACAGGUGUUUAGCUUCACAAGCAGAGGGAAGACCCAGCUGCUUCCACAGGAGCUAUAUGACCUGUUUCAGCAGUGGUGAGCUCUCUCUCUCUCUCUCUCUCUCUCUCUCUCUCUCUCUCUCUCUCUCUCUCUGUAUGUGUGUGUGUGUGUGUGUGUGUGUGUGUGUGUGUGCUCCUUUUAUUUUUUGAACCACAAUGCUUUUAAUAUUGCCCAGACUUGGUUCACUUCAGUUGUAUGGGAAAAGGCUUUCUGGUUAUGACAAUUAAUAUUCCUGCUCUUUUAAUUUCUUUUUAGCAAUAUAAUUUUUAUUGGAUGUUUUAUGUAUUUACAUUUCAAAUGUUACCCUCUUUCCCGGUUUCCCCUCUGGAACCCCACUCUCACAUCCUCCCUUCCCCGCUUCUAUGAGGAUGCUCCCUCUUGUGUGUGCUUCUUUUCCUUUAACUUCAUUAUAUUCGUUGAACCAAUAUUCUAGUGGGAUCUAUGAUUAUAAAAUGACACUGGUCUUCUGGUGCCUUAAAAAUAAUUUGAAGUUUCUGAAGUUUCUGUUGCCCUCAUAAUAGUACCACAAGUG
rnacentral:lncRNA from 1 species